AUGGCCGCUGCCACGGUGCGGUCGACGUUGCCCCCCUGCCUCCUCCUCCUCCUGUCCACGGCGCUCGCCUCUGCCGCCACCGCGCCGCGGCUCGUGCUCCUGGCGCCGUCCGGCCCGCACACGCCGUGCCUGGACAACCCGCCCAACCUGACGGCCGCGGGCGACGAGGCGGGCGAGCUCGUCCGCGACCUCGGCGGCCUCCAGGCCUACGUCACCGGAUCCCGCAGCUCCGCCAUCGUCCUCGCCUCCGACUACUUCGGCUUCCAAGCGCCAAAACUCAGGAAAAUCGCGGACCAGGUUGCAGAUGAUGGAUACUUGGUCGUGGUUCCUGAUUUGUUGCACGGGGACCCGUUCAGGGAUGAGGCCAAGAUUUCAUUUCAAGAUUGGCUGAAAACUCACUCUCCGGUAGAGGCAGCUGAAAAGACUAAAGUGCUUAUUACUGCUCUGAAGAAGCAAGGGGCGUCUGAAGUUGGCGUUGGAGGUUAUUGCUGGGGUGCAAAGGUAGCCGUGGAGCUAUCAAAGUCUGAAGAAAUUCAAGUGAUUGUCAUCUCGCACCCUUCACUAGUGACUGUCGAUGACAUGAAGGAGGUCAAGCAUCCCAUUGAGAUUCUUGGAGGAGAGCUUGAUCAAGCUUCUCCACCGCCGAUAGUGCACCAGUUUGAACAGACCUUGGAUCAGAACAACAAGAUUGACCACUUUGUGAAGAUCUUCCCGGGCGUAGCCCACGGCUUCGCUUGCAGAUACAACGCCAGCGACGCGUUCGCCGUCAAAACCGCCGAAGAGGCUCGUGCAGACAUGCUCAGCUGGUUCGACAAGUAUCUGAAGAAGCACCAAGAGUCUUCGCUCCACGAAUCUUAG
rnacentral:rRNA from 1 species